AUGAACGCUGGCGGCACGUCUGACACAUGCAAGUCGAACGGUAAGGGGAGCUUGCUCCCCCUAGAGUGGCGAACGGCUGAGUAACACGUAGGAACCUACCCCUCAGUUCGGGAUAACGGUCCGAAAGGAUCGCUAAUACCGGAUAAUACAGCAAUGUUGAAAGGUUUACUGCUGAGGGAGGGGCCUGCGGGCUAUUAGCUUGAUGGUGGGGUAACGGCCUACCAUGGCUAUGAUGGCUAGCUGGUCUGAGAGGAUGAUCAGCCAGACUGGGACUGAGACACGGCCCAGACUCCUACGGGAGGCAGCAGUUCAGAAUCUUGCACAAUGGGCGAAAGCCUGAUGCAGCGAUGCCGCGUGGGUGAAGAAGGCUCUCGGGUCGUAAAGCCCUGUCAGAGGGGAAGAAUAAUGACGGUACCCUCUAAGGAAGCCACGGCUAAUUACGU
rnacentral:rRNA from 1 species